CCUACGGGUGGCAGCAGUGAGGAAUAUUGGUCAAUGGGCGCGAGCCUGAACCAGCCAAGUAGCGUGAAGGAUGACUGCCCUACGGGUUGUAAACUUCUUUUAUAAAGGAAUAAAGUGGGGCCCGUGUGCCUUUUUGUGUGUACUUUAUGAAUAAGGAUCGGCUAACUCCGUGCCAGCAGCCGCGGUAAUACGGAGGAUCCGAGCGUUAUCCGGAUUUAUUGGGUUUAAAGGGUGCGUAGGUGGGUUGUUAAGUCAGUUGUGAAAGUCUGCGGCUCAACCGUUAAAAUGCCAUUGAUACUGGUGGUCUUGAGUGCAGUUGAGGUAGGCGGAAUUCGUGUUGUAGCGGUGAAAUGCUUAGAUAUCACGCAGAACUCCGAUUGCGAAGGCAGCUUACCAA
rnacentral:rRNA from 1 species